GACGAACGCUGGCGGCGUGCCUAAUACAUGCAAGUAGAACGCUGAAGAGAGGAGCUUGCUCUUCUUGGAUGAGUUGCGAACGGGUGAGUAACGCGUAGGUAACCUGCCUUGUAGCGGGGGAUAACUAUUGGAAACGAUAGCUAAUACCGCAUAACAAUGGAUGACACAUGUCAUUUAUUUGAAAGGGGCAAUUGCUCCACUACAAGAUGGACCUGCGUUGUAUUAGCUAGUAGGUGAGGUAACGGCUCACCUAGGCGACGAUACAUAGCCGACCUGAGAGGGUGAUCGGCCACACUGGGACUGAGACACGGCCCAGACUCCUACGGGAGGCAGCAGUAGGGAAUCUUCGGCAAUGGGGGCAACCCUGACCGAGCAACGCCGCGUGAGUGAAGAAGGUUUUCGGAUCGUAAAGCUCUGUUGUAAGUCAAGAACGAGUGUGAGAGUGGAAAGUUCACACUGUGACGGUAGCUUACCAGAAAGGGACGGCUAACUACGUGCCAGCAGCCGCGGUAAUACGUAGGUCCCGAGCGUUGUCCGGAUUUAUUGGGCGUAAAGCGAGCGCAGGCGGUUUGAUAAGUCUGAAGUUAAAGGCUGUGGCUCAACCAUAGUUCGCUUUGGAAACUGUCAAACUUGAGUGCAGAAGGGGAGAGUGGAAUUCCAUGUGUAGCGGUGAAAUGCGUAGAUAUAUGGAGGAACACCGGUGGCGAAAGCGGCUCUCUGGUCUGUAACUGACGCUGAGGCUCGAAAGCGUGGGGAGCGAACAGGAUUAGAUACCCUGGUAGUCCACGCCGUAAACGAUGAGUGCUAGGUGUUGGAUCCUUUCCGGGAUUCAGUGCCGCAGCUAACGCAUUAAGCACUCCGCCUGGGGAGUACGACCGCAAGGUUGAAACUCAAAGGAAUUGACGGGGGCCCGCACAAGCGGUGGAGCAUGUGGUUUAAUUCGAAGCAACGCGAAGAACCUUACCAGGUCUUGACAUCCCUCUGACCGCUCUAGAGAUAGAGUUUUCCUUCGGGACAGAGGUGACAGGUGGUGCAUGGUUGUCGUCAGCUCGUGUCGUGAGAUGUUGGGUUAAGUCCCGCAACGAGCGCAACCCCUAUUGUUAGUUGCCAUCAUUCAGUUGGGCACUCUAGCGAGACUGCCGGUAAUAAACCGGAGGAAGGUGGGGAUGACGUCAAAUCAUCAUGCCCCUUAUGACCUGGGCUACACACGUGCUACAAUGGCUGGUACAACGAGUCGCAAGCCGGUGACGGCAAGCUAAUCUCUUAAAGCCAGUCUCAGUUCGGAUUGUAGGCUGCAACUCGCCUACAUGAAGUCGGAAUCGCUAGUAAUCGCGGAUCAGCACGCCGCGGUGAAUACGUUCCCGGGCCU
rnacentral:rRNA from 1 species